rnacentral:ncRNA from 14 species
UUUUGUACACGCGGGAGCUCGGAGCACCGGGCUGAGAGGGCGCUGACCUCCGUCCCAGCGACGUUUCACAGGAAACAUCACCGAAGCGCGAGUGAUGUUUCCCACGGAACGCCGGCAGACGGAAACCGCUGCGUCGACCGCCGAACCUGUUACCGGGUAAUGCCGGCGUAGGGAGUAGGUCUCAUGACCAA